UACGGAGGGUGCAAGCGUUUAUCCGGAUUUACUGGGUUUAAAGGGUGCGUAGGUGGGUAGGUAAGUCAGUGGUGAAAUCUUCGAGCUUAACUCGGAAACUGCCAUUGAUACUAUUUAUCUUGAAUACUCUGGAGGUAAGCGGAAUAUGUCAUGUAGCGGUGAAAUGCUUAGAUAUGACAUAGAACACCAAUUGCGAAGGCAGCUUACUACAUAGUUAUUGACACUGAGGCACGAAAGCGUGGGGAUCAAACAGG
rnacentral:rRNA from 1 species